rnacentral:lncRNA from 1 species
AUCCCAUUGGGCAUAAAUCACACAACUUCGUUGGUCUGUACUAUGUUACAGAAGCAUUCGAUUCGGUGCUAGCAGUGCUUGUUUCAUAUCUCAGUUAGGUCGGUUAACAUUGCAUUAUCUGGCAUCAGUGCCAUUAGCAUGGAGCCAUUGAUGUGGAUUACGGCAGGAUCUUCAGGUUAGUUUUGGAUCUAUACCAAUGUCUGGAAAUAAGGGGCAUGAGAACGACCGGUUCCCGUGAGAUGUGUCGAGGAUGGUAUUUUCAGAUGGCAAAUAUUACUUCAGGAGUCCACUCUCUUGAGGAGCGUGCGAGCUCGAGGCAAGCCAUUGCCUUGUUAUGGCUUUGGUGGAUGGAAAGAAACAAUGCAAUUGAAUUAGUGGGUUUUCAGUUUACUCUAAAUAGCUCUAUGCAGAUUUAAAAAUAUUUUUUGAUGCAUCACCUCAGAAGCCUGCUAGAGUGCUACUGACUGAACU